rnacentral:tRNA from 1 species
CAGGGAAUAGUUUAAGAAGAAUUUCAGCUUUGGGUGCUGAUGGUGGAGCUGG